rnacentral:rRNA from 1 species
GAUGAACGCUGGCGGCGUGCCUAAUACAUGCAAGUCGAGCGAACGGACGAGAAGCUUGCUUCUCUGAUGUUAGCGGCGGACGGGUGAGUAACACGUGGAUAACCUACCUAUAAGACUUGGAUAACUUCGGGAAACCGGAGCUAAUACCGGAUAAUAUUUUGAACCGCAUGGUUCAAAAGUGAAAGACGGUCUUGCUGUCACUUAUAGAUGGAUCCGCGCUGCAUUAGCUAGUUGGUAAGGUAACGGCUUACCAAGGCAACGAUGCAUAGCCGACCUGAGAGGGUGAUCGGCCACACUGGAACUGAGACACGGUCCAGACUCCUACGGGAGGCAGCAGUAGGGAAUCUUCCGCAAUGGGCGAAAGCCUGACGGAGCAACGCCGCGUGAGUGAUGAAGGUCUUCGGAUCGUAAAACUCUGUUAUUAGGGAAGAACAUAUGUGUAAGUAACUGUGCACAUCUUGACGGUACCUAAUCAGAAAGCCACGGCUAACUACGUG